rnacentral:rRNA from 1 species
UACGAAGGGGGCUAGCGUUGUUCGGAUUUACUGGGCGUAAAGCGCACGUAGGCGGAUGUGUCAGUCAGGGGUGAAAUCCCGGGGCUCAACCUCGGAACUGCCUUUGAUACAGCACGUCUCGAGUCCGGAAGAGGUGGGUGGAAUUCCUAGUGUAGAGGUGAAAUUCGUAGAUAUUAGGAAGAACACCGGUGGCGAAGGCGGCCCACUGGUCCGGUACUGACGCUGAGACGCGAAAGCGUGGGGAGCGAACAGG